CUGGAGAGCUCCCAAAAACACAAGCCAAGAUUUGAGCCGCUAAACGUCUUGCUGUGAGGUAACAAUGCUCACCACCUGCCCACUGUGCCACCGCAGCCUUUUCGGACUCGUUUUCUGCAGUGUAUUUGGUCCCGCAGCUUUGUGCCAUUCCCACGUGUGAUAUUCUUCAGGCUCAAUGGGAUUUUAAUUACAUAAUUAAUGUUAGCAAGUUGACAUUUACAGCACAAACAGUCCAUCUGAAUCAUCGUGGAAGAGAAGGUCAGUCGUCUUGGUUAGCUGAUUUCUGCGUAGCAUCUAAAGUAUACUCAUGUUGAUUUGAAAUGGAGGCUCUCAACGGCCCUCCCAGUUGAGAAGUUCCUGGUUUGAAUCUCAGCUCAAACCAGUUCUCUGGCUUCUUUCCACUGUCAGAACCAGGCUUGGACACAAGAUACAAUUGCAGGGUUCAAAGUUAAAAGAUCAAUUUAUUUGACGAUCUCGAUUGGCUGACGACUCAAAAUGGCAAGGCUGUGGAAACAAAGCAAGGACUGGUCUGAUCUGGGGCGAUAAGCUGGACUGUACGCACAAGGACGAAACACACUGGCACAGGACAAAGCGAUACAGGGACCAUUUAAACACAAGGCAAACACAGGUGAAAACAAUCAGACUGGCAUUUCAAAAUAAAACAGGAAGUGACCAGACAAACACAAACAACCCUCGCCGCGGUCUGACAACCACAUUCCCAAAGCAUGCAUCUUGGAUCAUUGAAGACUGGAAAGUUGUCUCUCGGUAUCGAUAUUGCCUCCCCCACAAGAACAUGUGACCCUCCAGAGAGGAACUUCACCAGAUGGUCUCUCAAAGAGGGGCCAGCCCAGGCCAGCUCACAGGGUUGAGGGCAAAGCUGCUGUCCCCAUUUUUUUGGACACUAUAAUCCCCUGAGACUAUCCCAGAGCAAAUGAUACUGCAGGGUCUUCUUACAACAAAGUAAAUGGGUCAGAUUGAUCCUACAGAAAAAACUGUAUUUAAUUCAACAAGUAAUUUAUAAUGUGUGGGUGAAUUGUAUUUUUUUAGGUAUAAAAAUAACAAUUUAUGAAAAA